CCUGGUGUGUUGCGAGGAAAAAGAGAAAAAAAAAACAGCUAAGACGUGUCUUUAACUACGACUGGAAAAACAGGGGCGGUAUAACACUGCUACCUGGAGGUGGCUGAGCACGGUCCACACUGCAUGAAGUAGGGAGACGAAACUGAAUCCCUGUAAGGAGGAAGUGACAUCAGUUAGAAAGAAAACAUGCAGGAAGCAUUGGAGCUGGCUCUGUCAUGCAUCUUCUUACUGCAGCAACCCCAGCGCAUCUCACAGUGGAGGUCCGAAAUAACUCCAACAGAAGAUCCAGCUGUGUGAAUCCACACACAGUAUUAAAGAGCGACAUACCUGCAAAGCUUGAGUGUCAAGUGGUAGAAAGGCAGACAUGAGAGAAGAUGAGGAUUAAAACUGAGGACAAGAGCAUCAGGACGAAUGGCUGCCUGUGGAGAAGUCUUAGGACUCGUGUCGGAGUCUCCGCUUUCAUCCUCCAGCUCUCCCAUAGCUUUGACAUAGCUACUGCUCCGCAUGCGGCGACAUGGAAUCUCCUCAUCUUUGUCACCGGGGUAACCGCUCCACUCAUCUUGGGGUACCUGCAGGACACAAUACAUCUUAACGCAAAACACUGUCAUGCUUAGUCCAGUGUUUGUGGAGAAAUGUCAGACGGACGCUCCAUUUUCUCUGAUUGCAAAAUGUAAGCCUUAUUUUAGUUUGAGUGCAAAAAGUAUCAUUAGCAUGUACAAUGGUGCACAAUGAGCCAAAUGAGUACGAGACGUUUAUGAGGCAAGCUGUUGCAUAAGUUCUGCUUGUUUGUGUCUCCAACGGGAAAAUUAGGCUCAAUAACUGUUUUAUUGACCUCUGAGCUUUGCCUCCUAAAAUAAACUAUCAUUAUUAAA